rnacentral:lncRNA from 1 species
GUAGGGUCACAGCUGGAAAACUUAUCCAAUACAAUUUUGAUUAAAAGCUGCCACUUUUAUACUAAUCUUCAGCAUGAUCAGUUGUUCUUUUCUGUUAUCAAUGUGUAAUUCCAUGCCUAACUUGUGUUUAAAUUUCAGUAUUUUUUAGAAUAAGGUUAAAUGAGCUUGUCAUUUUAAGAAUAAUAAUUAAUGAUCAGUAAACUACUAAAAACACAAAAAUAAUGUAAAAGUAUUAUGUCACAUUUGCUAUGCAGCAGAAUACAGCUUAGUUUUGCCCCAUCAUACCUCAUAUCAUGUAUAAUAUUAAAUUAAUUUAGAUCACUAAACUAGAUGGUCAGGUGAUUGAGUUAUGGUUGGAAACAAGAUCAGAAAUAUCACCGUUUUUCAGGAAAAGACAGGAUAAUAAAUUUCUCCAAUUAUUAUGAUAAAAGCCUAAAAGAGAAAACAUUCACUCUGCAAAACCUGUUUUAGAGCAAAAUUACAAAUAGGAACUAGAUUUCCAAAAUUCUAGGUGGCAUAAUUAUUUCUAUGGACUCAAGGACCAAAGCCCAAAUACCAUUUCAGAUUUAUAAAGUCUCCCAAAAUGUUU